AGCCGCAUGCGAAGAUCCAUUAUCGCAUGCGGCUGCUUAGGACAGCCGCAUGCGAUAACGGAUCUUCGCAUGCGGCU
rnacentral:pre_miRNA from 18 species